AUAUUAAAUACAGAUGUAUUCAAUAUUUUUCAAUAUUUUCUGCUACUAGGGAAGUUUCUUUGAAAAUGUAAAACUAUUCUACUACAAAUUUCAUAAAUGUCAAAGAAACAGUCUUCAUCUAUUCACCAAACUACAUAGUCUAAAGAAAAAUACCAGAUUUAUACACAAUCACAAUAUAAUUGGAUAUAUUCAAAAUGAUGUAAGAAAUCAUUAUUUAUCCAUUAAUAAAAAGAAGAAAUAAAUAGUCAAAUUAAUUCUAAUUACACCCAUACUUGGAAUUAUAAUGGAAUACAGAAUUGUACAGUUGUAAAUAUUUUUUGUUUUCUAAAAUUGAAGUGAUAGAAACUGUAACAUUAGAUAAUAUUAUAAACUUAUUUGUAAACUUGAGUUUAGACCAAGUGAAAAAUAAUCCUGUACCUGUUAAUGUGGUAACAAAGUAUAAAGAAAAGUGUCAAGUAAAUAAUUUUAUUUUUGGAGAUAAUUCAUAGAAAGCUACAUAGCUAAAUUCUGAAGAUGUUUCAUGCAAAAUAUGUUCUGUACAGUAGAAGAGUACCGAAGUUAUUGUGAUUUAUUAUACUGACGAUGUGAAUAGAGGUAAAGUAAUAAGGAAAGAAAUGGAAUUGCUUCGUGAAGAAACAUAUCUACAGACAAAUCAUAAUAAUCUUGUUCAGAUAACUCUGACAAAUAAAAAUAUCAUUUCUUCUGUGAAUAAUUAUCAAUCAUUCAAAGUUAGGAUUUCGCCUUCUAAUACAACGUAGAAAUUCUUCAUACAUUGGAGCAACAGUGUCCAUAUUAGCAACAGUGAAAACAUACCUUUUUUCCAGUGCUAUGUAA